rnacentral:pre_miRNA from 1 species
AGCGACUGUCGAGCAGGGGAGCUCCGUCCAUGACGGGGAUUUGUCGUGUGUACUUGUCAUGGAGUUGCUCUCUUGCUCGCCGUUACG